CAGCACACAGGGGUGGGGCUUGGUGAGUGUGUCUCGGUCCAAGAGGCCCUGGCAGGACACGCGUAGCUCCACACGAGAGGCUCCCAGCGUCAUGGCUGGGGGCUCAGGCACCCAUCCCAUCUCAGGGUCCGACAUGUCUCUGUGGGGAUGAGCAGAUGGCUUGGACACUGGAAGGAGAACCAGAAGAGGAGGACUGUUCUCUGGGGACCCAGGACCCCCCCACCCACCUUGCCCUCCUUACUGAGGCCCUGGGGUCUCAUGGACUUCCUGCUUUCCCUGCCUUCUGCCUGACUUCCCCAGAACUCUGAGCAGGGGAGGAUGGAGGAGCAGAGCCUCUCCCUGUUGUGCUUCUGUCAGCUACCAGCCUAGGUGGCACAUGGAUAAGGUGAAAAUCAUCAUAAAUGGGCUGCAAUCAAGUUACCAAAGUUUGGGAAGAAGAGCACUAGAGUGGAAACAGCAGCCUUGUUGGCCAGACCACUGGAAGAGUAGAGUUUAUGAAACUGAGAAGUUUGGGAAGCAGAGGAGGGGAUGCCCGUGUUCCUUAUGGGAGUGAGGUGCAGUCCAAAUGUUGAAGAAAAUGGAGAUGAUUAACCCCAAACAGAUCAUCUAUGAAGAGAAAGAAUGGUCAUCUGCCAAGAGGACCUGUCCUGCUAAAGCUUCUGCAGUCCUCCAAGGGUCAAAGACAUUUUUUGUCUUCAUGUCCAGUUUCUCCUGUGUUGUAUUUGUAAACAGCCUUGGCUCUUGGAAAGAAGGGAACAACUUCCAGGGGUCAGCAAAGACCCAGGUAGGGUGAAGACAUCUUGACUGAAGAGAAGACAUUCCCAAGAGUCCAUCUGGCCCCAAGACAUAGCUCCUGCCUAGCUGCUUCUGGUUUCUCUGCCUGAACAUUGACAGCUCUUCCCACAGGGUGCCCUACUUGGCUGGAGAUACUGGGUGGGCCCUGACUGUUGGAUAUAGGAAAGGGAAUGGACCCCUGGGUCUGGAUUGAAGGGGCCAUCAAUGUAUAGAAUUCUCCAGCUCUCUCCUCUUGGGCAUUCCUGGGAUGUCUGUGUUCCAGUCAGAGCCUGCAAUCAAGCCAUCAAAGCUAAUAAGAUUAUUUCUGCGUUAAAUGAAAUUAUGGAUGAAGGAUGGAGAUGCAGGGAACAGACUAAUGGUUCUAAUGUUUUUUUCCAACCUUUCACUUCUCAAUAAAGUGCAAUCAUCUGACUCCUUGUUUAUGUUCUAGGAAAAUGAUGACUCCUCUGAGAAGCUGUGAUUAUUGUGUUCCUCAUUCGUCGGUGUCUAGUUGGGUGGGAUCAGGCAGAAGGAACCCUGGUGGAGAAGGGCAGCAAGUCAUAGUCUGCCUCUUGGAUGAGCAUCUCACUUCUUACCUAGUUUCUUUGGUUGCUAUACUUUCAAUAAUAUUCUAUUUAUUGUCAAAAUAUUUUUAUUUUUAAUACAAAAUAUUAUAAGAAUAUAUUAUCAUUAAAAAAAUAGAGGGAAAGCAAAAGCUCCUUACUUCACUCAUCCUCUCCUCUCCCAGAAGUGCCUACUGCUGUUCAUUUGAGGGAAUAUCUUUCUCUCUCUGUGUAGUGGUUUGAAAACUUGUCUACAAUUACUUUAUGCCACUUCUUUCAAAAAGCAAAGACUAAUUUCCCUUGCCUUAAGGGUGGAAAGUACUUGGUGACUCACUUUUAAGGCAUAGAAGGUGGCAGGAGUGAUGAUUUACGAUGUCUGAAAUUAGGGCAGAAAUGGGUAGGGGCUUCUUCCUUUUCCCUGCUCUCUCAGAGGACAUGCUUAGGGAGAAUCAGCUGCCAUGUUGUGAGGACACUCCAGGGGACCUAAGGAGAGGUCUCUGUGUUGAGGAACUGAGGCCUCCUGCCAGCAGCCUUGAGUGAACUGUAAAGAAAUAACUGGACUAGGUUCUGCCCCCUGUGAAGGUAUAGGCUCUCAGAUGACAUAAACACUUUUUUAUAUUGACAAAGAGUUGCUAAGUGGGUUGAUUUUUUUCUUGGACCAGGGAUUGAACCCAUGGGUGCUUAACCACUGAGCCACAUCCCCAUCCUUUUUUAUUUUUUAUUUUGAGACAGGUUCUCACUAAGUUCUUAUAUCCUCCCUGAGUUGCUGAGGCUAGCUUUGAACUUGUAAUCAUCCUGCCUCAGCCUUCUGAGUCACUGGGAUUACAGGCAUGCACCACCAUGCCCAGCAGUAGCUAAGGGUUUAAAUAACAGGUCUGACUAUUAUUUAACAGAUAAUAAAGCUCGGGUUACCUGGUGGUUGCUGAUAUCGGAUUGCCCUUCAGCACUAGAGAAGUUAUUACCCCAUCUGCUGGAGUGCUGCUGGCAGAAGCCCUCAACAAUUACACCUCAGGAAUUUUCUAAACUAGAAACAGUUGUCUUGCCCAGGGUCAUGCCCACUUCUUAGCAGCCCACAUUCAGGGAUUGGUUAAUGAUGGCACAGAACUCGGCCCUUCUGCCCCAAUUCAGGAGGCUCUGAAGAGCCAUCCCAUCUUCAGAGCUCCCUGCAGGAUUGGCCAAGGCAUCCCUGGGCUGCAUUGCAGCUAAACUUCAUUCUGUAUCCAACACCUUCCCUUUCACAGCUCUUGAUACCAAAAGCACUCCUGCAUGCUGGUCUCUACCUCAGAGUUCACUUACUGAGAAACCCAAGUGGGGAUAAUGGGUACCAGGAGUGUUCUAAGAAGGGAGGUGAAGAGAUAGGUCUUAGAGCUGGAUUAUCAGCCACCCAGCUGGCAUCAGUGGUGGUAAGGUGGACACCCAUAACCUGAAGAAGGUGACCAUGCAACUGCUCACUGGUUAUGAGCUGUGAUUGUAUUCUUGUGGAAGGGAAUGCAUUAACUGGUGCAAGGUUUCAGGCAUUUGAGAAAUAUGGAGGAUAUGGUUAUUAUAUUGAUGCUCAGAAAAGGGUAACAAAGCCAAGAGUAAUUAAUCAUUUAUUGUAAAUGUUGUCAAUGCUGGAGGAGCUCCUGGGGGGCAUGUAAAGAAGCUAUUACUUCCUGCAGCCAGAGGACAGAGACAAUUGAUAAUCAGACUCAGGGCUUAAGAGCAGGGGAGCUCCACAGAAGGUUCAACCCCACUAAGGCAGAUCUGCUGUGCCCGCCAGGGACCAGGGUGGGAAAGAACAUAUCAGAGUUGAUGCACCCAGAAUCUUGAACCCCACAUUUUCCCCUAGGAAUCAAGGGGAAAGAAGCAGGAGUGGCCCUGUUAGCUAUCUUUCCCAGUGGCCAACAGGGGAAAUUUCAUCCUUAUCCCCAUAUUUUUGGGGGUCUGUGAAGUUAGAGGUCAUGGAUCCCAAAGGGAAAUGCUUCCACUUGGGAACAGGCAAGAAUUUUAUUGAACUAUAAGCUGUGGCUUCAUUUAGAUACUUUGGGUUCCUUGUGAAAGAACAACAGGGAAAUAGAAGAUUCACCAUCAUUUUUUUUUGUACUGGGAUUGAACCCAAGGACGCUUAACCACUGAACUACAUCCUCAGUCAUAUUUAUUUUAUUUUGAGACAGUCUCACUAAGUUGCUUAGGUUGGCCUUGAACUGGUGAUCCUUCUGCCUCAGCCUCCUGAGCUGCAGGGAUUACAGGUGUGCACUACUGAUUUUGCAUCUUGAGAGGAUUGAAUGACUGACCCCUCUUAAGCAGGAAAGAACUGCUAUAACAGGGAGGGGCACAUGAAAAAGGCAAUAUGGGAACUAUCUUAAAAUAUUAAUGGAUAUAAGCCUUUGACAUAGACAUGUACUUUGUGGAUAUACUUGCAAAAAUAUACCAAAAUGUAUAAAUGAGACAGUUCAUGUUGGAAUGAUUUGUAUUGUAAAACUCAAAACAAAACAAAAAUGGCUACCUGGAAGCUACUUAAUAUUUAUUUGUUAAUAAAAAAUUGGCUAACUGUAUGGCAUAUCUAUCCUUAUCACAAAACUCUAUGCGUGUAUUAAAAGAAUAAAGUAGAGCUGUAUGUGCUGGUCCCUAAGAUGCAUUAGUAAGUGCAAAAAUUAUAUCCCUUUAUAAACAUAAAAAUAAAUAUCAUGUUGAUAUGCACACACACAA